AAGAGAAGACAAUUGUGCGAUUAAAGAAAAAGUUGUAUAUGAUUGUGACUGAGGAAGAACAGCAUAUUGAACAACAAAAUAAACUGUUCCUUAAUUUCAUAAGCUGACUACCAGAGCACAGACUACUUCAAAUAAAAACACUCGAAAAAGGGAAUUUGAAGACAUUCCCAGAGAAAGAAAAGAGCAAUUAGGAAACAACAGGAAACAGAAAUAUUCAGUCCUGGAUGAGAUUCCAGAGGGCAAAUUACUGGUAAAGGCCUAUGAAGACCAUUUAAAAGAAACAAAUUCCAGAAAUUAUCAAACCUUGCAG